UUGUGUUUCAGGCAAGUUGCUGAAUUAUGAAUCCCACCAACACAUCGAGCGCUCCUCAACAGGACUGGUCUGCGGAGAAGAGCCCCAUGGGCCACCCGGCUCCUCCACCCUACCAGGAAGCUCCCUACCCCGGCAUGCCCCCGCCAGGCCCUGGAUACCCUCCACAGCAGGGUUUUCCUCCACAGUACGGCGGUCCAGCAUAUGGACAUCAGCCGUACCCGAUGGCCCAGCAGUACCCACCUCAGCCCG